AGCGAACAUUGGCGGUAGGCUUAACACAUGCAAGUCGAGCGAGGCUAAGAGCCGAGCGGCGAACGGGUGAGUAAUACGUUGAAAUCUACCCUGGAGUGGGGAAUAACCAGCAGAAAUGCUGGCUAAUGCCGCAUAAUCCAUAUUGGGAAAGCGCUUAGCGCUCUAGGAUGAGUCAACGGCCGAUUAGCUAGUUGGUGGGGUAAAGGCCCACCAAGGCGACGAUCGGUAGCUGGUCUGAGAGGAUGAUCAGCCACACUGGAACUGAGACACGAUCCAGACUCCUACGGGAGGCAGCAGUGGGGAAUCUUGCGCAAUGGGGGCAACCCUGACGCAGCCAUACCGCGUGAGUGAUGAAGGUCUUCGGAUUGUAAAGCUCUUUCGGCGGGGACGACGAUGACGGUACCCGCAAAAGAAGUCACGGCUAACUUCGUGCCAGCAGCCGCCGCAG
rnacentral:rRNA from 1 species